UGCUCUUUCUUUCUACUACUAAUUGGUUAUUCCAACGAUGGCUACCUCGCUUCCCUCCGAAGUCCCGAGCACUCCCUUUUUCCCAUUCUACCUCUUUCUCGGUUUCUCCUCGAUCCCAAAACCCCCCCGGGCCGGAUUCCAAACCCGUCGAGGAGGGGGAAGGAAGGAGGGAAUUCUAGAGCGGGAUGAACGCGGCGGCGAGGAAGGCCGCGGGCGGAGGGGCCCGCGGGAGCGCGGCGGCGGCGCUUUUGCUGGUGGCGGCGGGGGUGGUCGCGUUCCUGAUCUCGUACGGCUUCCUCGCCAUGGUGCUCCGCGGCGGAGUCGGCGGCGGUGGUGGAGGAGGAGGAGGAGGAGGAGUCGCGGGGGUUGCGGCGGGGAGGGACCCGGUGGUGCCGAUGCCGGAGUGGAUGAGGGUCGCGGGCAGCGCGAGGGGAAGGAGGCGGCCGUUCCACGUCGCGCUCACGGCCACGGACGCCGCGUACAGCAGGUGGCAGUGCCGGGUCAUGUACUACUGGUACAAGCGGAUGCAGGCGCGGCCGGAGGGCGCCGACAUGGGCGGCUUCACCCGCGUGCUGCACUCGGGGAAGCCCGACGGACUCAUGGACGAGAUCCCCACCUUCGUCGUCGACCCGCUCCCCGCCGGCAAGGACCACGGCUAUGUCGUCCUAAACAGGCCAUGGGCAUUUGUACAAUGGCUGCAGAAAGCAAAGAUUGAAGAAGAGUACAUACUGAUGGCAGAACCAGAUCAUAUAUUUGUGAAACCUUUACAAAAUUUGGCUUUUGACAAUGAUCCAGCAGCAUUCCCAUUCUUUUAUAUUACACCAUCGGAGCAUGAAAAAAUUAUCAGGAAAUACUAUCCUGAAGAAAGAGGUCCUGUCACUAACGUUGACCCUAUUGGAAAUUCUCCUGUAAUCAUUAAGAAGACGCUGCUUGACAAGAUUGCUCCCACAUGGAUGAAUGUAUCAAUACAAAUGAAAGAGGAUCAGGAGACCGAUAAAGCUUUUGGAUGGGUUUUGGAAAUGUAUGCAUAUGCUGUUGCCAGUGCAUUGCAUGGGGUUCAACAUAUCCUUCGUAAAGAUUUCAUGAUCCAGCCACCAUUUGAUACGAAGCUCAGCAAUACAUUUAUUAUCCACUUCACCUAUGGAUGUGACUACACACUCAAGGGUGUACUGACCUAUGGAAAAAUUGGUGAGUGGAGAUUUGACAAACGAACAUACCAAGAUAGGCCACCACCAAGAAAUCUUACAUUGCCUCCUCCGGGAGUGCCAGAAAGUGUGGGAACCCAAAUCGUGGGAGGGGCUUUUGACAAGAAAAUUUGACUAGUGGAGCCAAUUUUCUGAUGCUGCAUGGCACGAAGACUGGAGACGUUGUCCGCCCACCCAAACCGCCCAUUAGAGUCAAAGUUCAAUGAAAUUAUAGCAAUUUCGGUCACACUGGUGAAAAUGGUAAAUGAAGCUAGCGCGAACCUUCCUAGGUGGGACGAGGGAUUAUAAGCUUUGGCGAUAUCAAACACCGACGAGGUCUGUUCUCAUAGGCUGCCCUUAUUGGGUUAUACAUUACACACAAAUGACAGAAGUAGACAGUUUAUUCUUCCUUCUUAGGCCGCUAGGAAAAACAGAAGUUCCCCAAUUCCUAUAGGAGUAACUGCUUCCAGUGAAAUUUUUAAGAUUCAAACAGAGCCUUACAGAAAGAUAGAAGAUAGCAGCCCAAAAUUCCCCACUGAAAGUUUUCUUGUAAUUUUCCCUGACUGCUGAUACUGAAAUGUAGUUUUAUGCAAGUGCAAUUGUGCUUGCACCUCUUUGGCAAUUCUAAGUACUUCCUCAGUCCGGGAUUAAGCGUCACAACUUUGUGUAUCUAGACGCGUUUUAGUGUAGAGAUACAUGUAUAUCUAGACAAAGUUGUGACACUUAAUAACAGAAGGAGGAAAUAUAUAAUUUCUCCAUUUUUUAAAGUAAAUUAUUUAUUCGACUA